UACGUAGGGCGCGAGCGUUGUCCGGAAUUAUUGGGCGUAAAGAGCUCGUAGGCGGCCUGUUGCGUCCGCUGUGAAAUCCCAGGGCUUAACCCUGGGCGUGCAGUGGAUACGGGCAGGCUGGAGGCAGGCAGGGGAGAACGGAAUUCCCGGUGUAGCGGUGAAAUGCGCAGAUAUCAGGAGGAACACCGAUGGCGAAGGCAGGUCUCUGGGCCACUACCGACGCUGAGAAGCGAAAGCAUGGGGAGCGAACAGG
rnacentral:rRNA from 1 species